GACACAAAUUUAUGCCUUCACUGAGUUAUUUUCUCAAUCUAGACACCACAACUAUAGCCAAAGCAUCAAAAAUGUUGGAAAUUCUGCAAGUACUUCGCUCACCUGUUGCUUACAUGGUGCCACUGCCAAUUGGAAACCCAUGGGAAUUCACUUCCAAGGGGAUAUACUUAUGGACAUCCUCAACAGGUUACCCGUGCGGUCUCUUCUUCAAUUCAAUUGUGUUUCAAAAUUUUGGG